rnacentral:lncRNA from 1 species
UUGGUUAUGAUUUGAUUUAGGAUUUGGUUUAAGGUUUGAUUUAGGAUUUAGGAUUUAGGAUUUGAAUUAGGAUUUGUUUUAGAAUUAGGAUUUGAUUAGGUUUUGGUUUAGGAUUUAGGGUUUGGAUUAUAGUUUGAUUUAGGAUUUGAUUAGGAUUUUAUUUAGGAUUUAGGGUUUGAUUAGGAUUUAAAUUAGGAUUUAGGAUUUAAUUAGGAUUUGGUUUAGGAUUUAGGGUUUAAGAUUUGAUUAGGGUUUAAUUUAGGAUUUUAUUAGGAUUUAUUUAGGGUUUAAGAUUUAAUUAAUUUGGGCCUAAAGUUUGAAUGAAGUCCAAUAGGAUUUUAAUUAGGAUUAAAUUAA